GUGUGGGGAAGGGGGGGUUAGGGUUUGGUAUCUCAUGAAUUGCAAUUGGCAGUAGAUCGUCCAGAUAAUUUCCUAUCGUUUAUAUCCCUUUGCGGAGGUCUCAAGAAAGUAUCACCAUCUUGCAAAAACUCUGAUCCGUGAAGCUGGGUUGAUUGAAGGUUACAAUCCCAACUGUUGGAAUUAUUCAGGCUUCGAGAAAGUUUGGCUUUAUGAACUCAAACUAAAGGGAUGGAGCUGUGAGUAAGGGGAGAAGACAUAUGGAGAAGACAUAUCCGAAGACUUUAAAGAAACUGCUGCCUGGGAAUGACAUCUCCACAAAAUACCAAUAAGAGCACAAGAAUACUGCUUCCAAAGACGAAUCACCUUAACACGAACUUUCCACAUCGACUUGAACAGCUUCAAAUCGCUAACAAAGUCUAAACAUGCCAUUUGAAUCGAAAGUCACAGAAAAUUAGAGAGAAAGAAAAAGAGAGAACACGAUAUCGUUGAAGCACUUCCAUCUUCCAUAUUUAUAUAAGUUUCAAUUUAUUCCGCAUAAAUGCGAUAUUACACAAAAUAUACGCUUGAUCAUACUAAUUGGCAAUUUUCAAGUUAAAAUAUAUUCAAAUGUUUUGUUUUUGGAAGUUAAUAAAUACCGCAGAAGACUAUUUUAGGUUAAUAUUAAACUUGCAAAUCAAGGAUUCUGUUUGUCCUUUCCGUGGUUGAAAAAAUAUUAUUAUUCACGGCAAUCAGCACUAAUUAUAUAAAUUCGAAAUUUUGCCUAAUUGCAAUCAAGUAUUUCCAUAUACAAUAUGAUAUUGACCAAAAUAAAUACCUUAAUUCGCGUUUGAGAUCACCAUAUUUCAAAAAGAGCACUCAUUUGUAUCCUAAAUCAUAUUCGUUUGAUCAUAUUUCAAAGAUCAUAAGCUUCCAAUUUACGAUUAUGAAUUGAUGAGAUGAAGUAAAUAUUAUACAUUUACAUAUAUGGAAAUUAUGAUUUUCAAUUCCUGGAGUUUUAUUUUAUUCAAAUAUUUUUGACUGACUACGGAGAUCAUUUUGAAAUUAAAUCAUUUUGUUUGUAUUAGUAAAUACAAAUGUUCAUAAUAACAUUUGAAUAUAAAAAAAAAGUUUUCUCCA